UCCGUAGGCGGCUUUAUAAGUCAGUGGUGAAAGCCCAUCGCUCAACGAUGGAACGGCCAUUGAUACUGUAGAGCUUGAAUUAUUAGGAAGUAACUAGAAUAUGUAGUGUAGCGGUGAAAUGCUUAGAGAUUACAUGGAAUACCAAUUGCGAAGGCAGGUUACUACUAAUGGAUUGACGCUGAUGGACGAAAGCGUGGGGAGCGAACAGGAUUAGAUACCCCUGUA
rnacentral:rRNA from 1 species